rfam:Halanaerobium hydrogeniformans chromosome, complete genome.
GCUCCAAUGACUAAUCCAUUAAAAUAAGGAUUGAAAC